rnacentral:pre_miRNA from 1 species
AAAAAACAUAAUUUUACGUUUUUUUCUAACGUUUGAUGAUUUAUCUUAUUUGAAAAAAAUGAUUAAUAUUUUUAUUAUUAUUAGAUAAUAAAAUAUGAAUAGUACUUUAAGCGUCUGACUAUUUUUUUAUUUUUUAAUAAAAUUUUCAAAUAAAAUGAACUAUCCAACUAUCAAACGUUGGAGACGGAAACUCACAACUGCACUUAAA